rnacentral:ncRNA from 1 species
GGAAGUCCGGUGAGAGUCCGGCACGGUCGCGCCACUGUAAGCCGUGAGGCCCCCAGGGGCACAUCACGGCGAGUCAGAC